UACGUAGGCUGCGAGCGUUGUUCGGAAUUACUGGGCGUAAAGAGUGUGUAGGCGGUGUUUUAAGUUCGGUGUGAAAUCUCCUGGCUCAACUGGGAGGGUGCGCCGGAAACUGGAGUGCUUGAGCGUGGGAGAGGAAAGCGGAAUUCCUGGUGUAGCGGUGAAAUGCGUAGAUAUCAGGAGGAACACCUGUGGUGUAGACGGCUUUCUGGACCAUAGCUGACGCUGAGACACGAAAGCGUGGGGAGCAAACAGG
rnacentral:rRNA from 1 species